rnacentral:rRNA from 1 species
AGUUCGUGGAGUGAUCUGUCUGCUUAAUUGCGUUUCAAAAUUUAAACCUGAGCGACAAGGUGCUGCUAUCGAAACUGUCUUUGAGUGUGAACUAUAAGUCUUUUGACUUAUGACCAUCACUCUAGACGUUUAUGUUUUGGUGUUGGCCCUUGAUGCUCAUUUGAACGCAACGGACGUGAUUGCAACCCCUUGUUGAGAUUUAUCCGAUCUCUACGUUCACUGAACCACACUCUUUAGCGAGAGCAGUGGGGAUGUGGAUAAACUCGGGGGACUGCUGACUAUAAACUUUUCUCAAACCAGAGGAAGGUUGCGGCAAUAACAGGUCUGUGAUGCCCUCAGAUGUUCCGGGCUGCACACGUGCUACAUUUAGUAGCGCAGUGUGCACAUUAAUAGAGUGAUAGGUUCCGUGGUUUGUACAUUUUAAGGGCUCGUCCUAGUAACCAAAGCUCCACGGGACAUAUCAACCUUCCCCUUACAGGGCGGGUAACCUCUUCGAAGUGCUGGCAUGAUUUCCCUAGUUUUGGCAUUUGAAUCCUUGUCGCAGCAGCCCUGAGACGUAGUGAACGCUGCAAAGUGAUUCCAGUCUUAGGUUUGCGACACAUGCAAUUCCUGGUUGACUCAUC